GUGAUUGUAGCUCAGUUGGUAGAGCCCCGGAUUGUGAUUCCGGUUGUCGUGGGUUCAAGUCCCAUCAGUCACC
rfam:Shewanella algae strain BrY contig_31_1, whole genome shotgun sequence.